rnacentral:rRNA from 1 species
GGAGGGACGGCAGAGAAGCGGGAGGGGGGGAAACGGAACAAGAGCGCAGAGGAAAGGGCAAAAGAAAGGAAGCGGCGCCAGGGAAAGAACCGCCGAAGUGGGGGAAUCUUCCGCAAUGGGCGAAAGCCUGACGGAGCAAUUCCGGGUGAGGGAGGAAGGCUUUUGGGUCGUAAACCUCUUUUCUCAAGGAAGAAAAAAAUGACGGUACUUGAGGAAUAAGCAUCGGCUAACUCCGUGCCAGCAGCCGCGGUAAUUCGGAGGAUGCAAGCGUUAUCCGGAAUGAUUGGGCGUAAAGGGUCCGCAGGUGGUACUGUAAGUCUGCUGUUAAAGAGUCACGCUCAACGUGAUAAGAGCAGUGGAAACUACAGAACUAGAGUGCGUUCGGGGCAGAAGGAAUUCCUGGUGUAGCGGUGAAAUGCGUAGAUAUCAGGAAGAACACCGGUGGCGAAAGCGUUCUGCUUGGCCGCAACUGACACUGAGGGACGAAAGCUAGGGGAGCGAAUGGGAUUAGAUACCCCAGUAGUCCUAGCCGUAAACGAUGGAUACUAGGCGUGGCUUGUAUCGACCCGAGCCGUGCCGGAGCUAACGCGUUAAGUAUCCCGCCUGGGGAGUACGCACGCAAGUGUGAAACUCAAAGGAAUUGACGGGGGCCCGCACAAGCGGUGGAGUAUGUGGUUUAAUUCGAUGCAACGCGAAGAACCUUACCAAGACUUGACAUCCUGCGAAUUUUCCUAAAGGGAAGAGUGCCUUGGGAGUGCAGAGACAGGUGGGACAUUUUUGUAAAAACCCUUGUUUUAUAUCCUCAGCAUGCGCAGUGCUGG